rnacentral:rRNA from 1 species
AGAGUUUGAUCCUGGCUCAGGAUGAACGCUGGCGGCGUGCCUAACACAUGCAAGUCGAACGAAGUAUAUAUAGGAAGUCUUCGGAUGGAAUAUGUAUAACUUAGUGGCGGACGGGUGAGUAACGCGUAAGUAAUCAACCUGUGACACACGGAUAACUGAUAGAAAUGUCAGCUAAUACGAGAUGAACUGUUUAGAUUGGGGAAUGGAAACAGCAAAGCGAAAGCGGUCACAGACGAGCUUGCGUCUGAUUAGCUAGUUGGUGGGGUAAGAGCCUACCAAGGCAACGAUCAGUAGCCGGCCUGAGAGGGUGAACGGCCACAUUGGAACUGAGACACGGUCCAAACUCCUACGGGAGGCAGCAGUGGGGGAUAUUGCACAAUGGGGGGAACCCUGAUGCAGCAACGCCGCGUGAGUGAAGAAGGCCCUAGGGUCGUAAAGCUCUGUCGUAUGGGAAGAAACAAAUGACUGUACCAUACAAGAAAGCCCCGGCUAACUACGUGCCAGCAGCCGCGGUAAUACGUAGGGGGCAAGCGUUAUCCGGAAUUACUGGGCGUAAAGGGUGCGUAGGCGGCUAGUUAAGUCGAGGUUAAAAGGCAGUAGCUCAACUACUGUUGGGCCUUGAAACUAAUUAGCUUGAGUAUAGGAGAGGAAAGUGGAAUUCCCGGUGUAGCGGUGAAAUGCGUAGAUAUCGGGAGGAAUACCGGUGGCGAAGGCGACUUUCUGGACUAUAACUGACGCUGAGGCACGAAAGCGUGGGUAGCAAACAGGAUUAGAUACCCUGGUAGUCCACGCCGUAAACGAUGAACACUAGGUGUCGGGAGGAAUUUCGGUGCCGGCGCAAACGCAAUAAGUGUUCCGCCUGGGGAGUACGUUCGCAAGAAUAAAACUCAAGGAAUUGACGGGGACCCGCACAAGUAGCGGAGCGUGUGU